AGUCUCCUGGCUCGACAACUAACUCCGAGUGACCUUGGGUAAACAUUCUCUCUAGGCCUCAAUUUCGUUAUUUUUAAGCGAGAACUUCAAGUCCCUCUCUUACAGUAUUAACUCUGUUCCAACUUCAUGUGAUCAGGAAUGGACUUUGGGGCUGCCAAUAAUCAAUGCCAGAAAAAACAGGUAACAGGUUAAAUGGGUCAGAGCCCCCGAAGCGGAGAUACAGUGACGGAAAAAGGGUAAGUGGACCCUGACCCAGCAAAGACCGGCGCUGGAUUUGGGGGGCGGAGGUGUCUGCAGGAGGGCCGGAGGUGGGACUGCCCGGCUCCCCGCGCCCGCAGGAGGUGGAGUCGAGGUUCUCGCGUGCAUUGUCCCCGGGAGGGAGCCAUGUUUCUUCCUCCCCGGCACUCCCAGAUGGCGGCUGGGGGCGCGGGGCCUAAGCAACCGAAAGCCCGGCGACCUGGGCCUCCGGGCGGAGGCGGACAAGGAGGAAUAUCUACCUAUCUACAUGGGGCUCUCAAUCUACUUGAGCCCCAGCAUGCAAAUACCAAAGAAGAAACAAUGUUCUUCACUCAAAACUCCUAAUUGCCCUGGUAUUAAAUGUCCAGCUGUACCGAAGUUCAUUUGUAACUUUCUGAGCCUCGAUCUGAUGUGAUGACAGCAGCACUUCUAUGGUCUUCCUCCCCAAAACACAUGACCAAUCAUGAGAAAAAACAUCAGACAAAUCCUAACUGAAAGAUGGUCUUCGAAAAGUUCUGGCCAGAACUCCUGAAAACUGUCAAGGUCAUCAAAAAACUAGGAAAGUCUGAGAAACUGUCACAGGCAAGAGGAGCCAAAGGAAACAUUUUGACUAAAUAUGUUAUCCUGAAUAGGAUCCUGGGACAGAACAAGGACAUUAGGCAAAAACUAAGGAAAAAACAUGGACUUUAGAUACUAAUGUAUCAGUAUUGGUUCAUUAUUUGUGACAAAUGUACCAUAUUGAUGUAAGAUGUUACUAAAAGAAGAAACUUAUCGAAGGGUAUGUGGUAACUCUCUAUCUUUGCAACUUUUCUGUAAAUCUAAAACUACUCUAAAAAGAAUUUUGGCUUCCAAAAGUUUGAAAAAUUAAAAGUGAUAAAAGAAAAAGAAAAUGUCUAUUUAUAAAAUGUGAGGGGAAAGGGAUUUUAAGACACUGUAGGUAAUGAAUUCUAUCAUCUUUCAUAUUCUUUGAAAAAUCCAAAUACAGGUCAGAAUUUAUCUCAAUUACAUUUUCUUACUGAUCUGUUUCUUUUAAUACAACACAGCUUGAAAGCCGGGCUUCUUUGGGCCUGGGAUCUACUCAGGUUCCAACAUCAGCACCCUGAUACUGUGGAGAACACAGGAAGGAUGACUUUCCAUUGGGAAUCUUCUGGAAAGCUCACACAGACAGGAAGCCAGUUAAUCAUCAGGACAGAGUGUCUAGGCAUUUGACUAAAGCCCCUUUCAGAAGGGACUUCUUGGGCCCCAAGCAAGCCUGGAAUCCCUUAAAAGAGUUGACAU